GUCCCAGAAGAAACAGAAACAUUGUUAUGAUUCACGAAAUCGUGCAUGCUGGAGCAAAGACUUUACCAUUGGAGAUACAGUACUUUUAAAGAACUUUAGAGCUCGAGGAUUAGACGAAAAAUACGUUGGGCCGUAACUGGUUGUUGAUGUUCAAGAUACUAGCUGUGAGAUAGAGUCGCUAGCCAAUAAGACAAGAAAGACUGUUCAUGCGAACAAUUUAAAACGAUUUCCGAUUGACUAUGAUAUUGCCGGAUCAGGUUUACGAAGAAAGUGAAGAUACCGAAAGUUCUGAAUGUGACUUUGACGAAAUUGGUAAUAAACUGCCGAAUCCUGAAGAACGCCAGAAUGUUCAAAGAAAUGAUGAUGGUGCCAAUGUG